GUUUUAACGCCAAAAAUAGAUAGUUACGUCCAACCGAAAGUCCAAAGACUUGUUAAAAUGGUUCUAUAUUUGUCUUUGACCAACAUGGAAUAACCUUAAUUACUUUGCUUCAGCCUAUCCUUGGCCGUCUUGGGGGACUAACCCGUGGGCACGCCCUCAAUACCCUUCUUCUCCGUGGAACCCCUGGAGUCCACAGGCGUACUUCGCAAGAGAGUUCUACGAUGAAUUGUUUGAUUAAGAGAAACAUUUGAUUCCCAUAAGCUACUUCCAGCGUGACGUCAUUCUUAACUGAAUGGAAAUUUCGUAUAACCUUGUUUCUAUUAUUUGUAAAAUAGACAGCAGUCAUAAAAUAAAUUGCCAUU
rnacentral:sRNA from 1 species